rnacentral:lncRNA from 1 species
UGGCACUCCUUAAAAAAACAUUGGCUCCUAUUUUAUAAGAACGAGAUAUUUCUGAAAUAUCACAUUUCCAGAAAUAUUGUGGUCCAGUAUUUUAAAUAAUUCAAUCUAAAUUACUAGUUUUCUAAAAAUAAAAUAAAAAAUUCUCCUUUUUUUUAUUCUUUCUUUUUUUUAUUUAAAUAUAUGAAGAAGUUGACCGGAUCAAAUCUCAAAAUAUCACCGCAAACCUUAUAUACGGAACGAAUCACAUUUUGAAAAUAUUAUAUAUCACACACCUCGAUUCAGAUAAAUUCUUUAUAAUUUUUAAUUUUAUUCUAAUAAAUUAUUUUUUAUAAUAUUUUUAUAAAAUAAAAAUAUAGUAAUUUUUAGGUAAAAUAUUUUUAACAAUAUAAUGUUUUUUGCGCUACCGGCAAUAUAAUUAAAAAAAGGUUAAGAUAACAAACAACAUUAAAACACGUGCAAUAAUUAGGAGAGCCUUCAUUCAAUUAUCGUACGAAUGGUUAAGAUUUAUAAUAUAUUACAAAAUGAGACAUCCCCAAGUGC